AGGUUUUCGGAUCGUAAAGCUCUGUUGUUAAGGAAGAACGAGUGUGAGAAUGGAAAGUUCAUACUGUGACGGUACUUAACCAGAAAGGGACGGCUAACUACGUGCCAGCAGCCGCGGUAAUACGUAGGUCCCGAGCGUUGUCCGGAUUUAUUGGGCGUAAAGCGAGCGCAGGCGGUUAGAUAAGUCUGAAGUUAAAGGCUGUGGCUUAACCAUAGUACGCUUUGGAAACUGUUUAACUUGAGUGCAGAAGGGGAGAGUGGAAUUCCAUGUGUAGCGGUGAAAUGCGUAGAUAUAUGGAGGAACACCGGUGGCGAAAGCGGCUCUCUGGUCUGUAACUGACGCUGAGGCUCGAAAGCGUGGGGAGCGAACAGGAUUAGAUACCCUGGUAGUCCACGCCGUAAACGAUGAGUGCUAGGUGUUAGGCCCUUUCCGGGGCUUAGUGCCGCAGCUAACGCAUUAAGCACUCCGCCUGGGGAGUACGACCGCAAGGUUGAAACUCAAAGGAAUUGACGGGGGCCCGCACAAG
rnacentral:rRNA from 1 species